AAGUUACAGUUUGUGCAGAAAUAAAUGCUUCAGCUCCUCAACACCAACAGAGGUUUCCCGCGUCUUGUGUCCCGGCGGCUGAUUGGAGUGACGGUGGGGUAAACUCUGGAGCGAG